rnacentral:tRNA from 1 species
AGUCCUUGGGAGGAACGUUUUCCCCCUUUUCUGGUUUACAACACCAGGGUAAUGUGCGAAGCGAGCCACCCUG